GAUCCUGGCUCAGAUUGAACGCUGGCGGCAUGCCUUACACAUGCAAGUCGAACGGCAGGCACGGGAGCAAUCCUGGUGGCGAGUGGCGAACGGGUGAGUAAUAUAUCGGAACGUGCCCAGUCUGGGGGAUAACGUAGCGAAAGCUACGCUAAUACCGCAUACGAUCUAUGGAUGAAAGCGGGGGAUCGCAAGACCUCGCGCGAUUGGAGCGGCCGAUAUCAGAUUAGGUAGUUGGUGAGGUAAAGGCUCACCAAGGCGACGAUCCUUAGCUGGUCUGAGAGGAUGAUCAGCCACACUGGGACUGAGACACGGCCCAGACUCCUACGGGAGGCAGCAGUGGGGAAUAUUGGACAAUGGGCGAAAGCCUGAUCCAGCAAUGCCGCGUGAGUGAUGAAGGCCUUCGGGUUGUAAAGCUCUUUUACUCGGGACGAUAAUGACGGUACCGAGAGAAUAAGCCCCGGCUAACUCCGUG
rnacentral:rRNA from 1 species